rnacentral:rRNA from 1 species
AUCGUACGACGAGUUUGACCAUGGCUCAGAACGAACGCUGGCGGCAGGCCUAACACAUGCAAGUCGAACGCUCGUAGCAAUACGGGAGUGGCAGACGGGUGCGUAACACGUGGGAACAUACCCUUUGGUUCGGAAUAACUCAGGGAAACUUGAGCUAAUACCGGAUACGCCCGAGAGGGGAAAGAUUUAUUGCCGAAGGAUUGGCCCGCGUCUGAUUAGCUAGUUGGUGAGGUAACGGCUCACCAAGGCGACGAUCAGUAGCUGGUCUGAGAGGAUGAUCAGCCACACUGGGACUGAGACACGGCCCAGACUCCUACGGGAGGCAGCAGUGGGGAAUAUUGGACAAUGGGCGCAAGCCUGAUCCAGCCAUGCCGCGUGAGUGAUGACGGCCUUAGGGUUGUAAAGCUCUUUUACCCGGGAAGAUAAUGACGGUACCGGGAGAAUAAGCCCGGCUAACUUCGUG